rnacentral:sRNA from 1 species
UGCUCUGGCGAGGGCUCCAGCAUCACAGAUGGAGGCAGAAGAAGCGGCUGCUAAAGCGUCAUCAGAAGUGAACCUGGCAAACUUACCUCCCAGCUAUCACAAUGAGACCAACACAGACACGAAGGUUGGAAAUAAUACCAUCCAUGUGCACCGAGAAAUUCACAAGAUAACCAACGACCAGACUGGACAAAUGGUCUUUUCAGAGACAGUUAUCACAUCUGUGGGAGAUGAAGAAGGCAGAAGGAGCCACGAGUGCAUCAUCGACGAGGACUGUGGGCCCAGCAAGUACUGCCAGUUUGCCAGCUUCCAGUACACCUGCCAGCCAUGCCGGGGCCAGAGGAUGCUCUGCACCCGGGACAGUGAGUGCUGUGGAGACCAGCUGUGUGUCUGGGGUCACUGCACCAAAAUGGCCACCAGGGGCAGCAAUGGGACCAUCUGUGACAACCAGAGGGACUGCCAGCCGGGGCUGUGCUGUGCCUUCCAGAGAGGCCUGCUGUUCCCUGUGUGCACACCCCUGCCCGUGGAGGGCGAGCUUUGCCAUGACCCCGCCAGCCGGCUUCUGGACCUCAUCACC